AUUGAACGCUGGCGGCAGGCCUAACACAUGCAAGUCGAACGAGUGGCGGACGGGUGAGUUAUGUCUGGGAAUCUGCCCGAUGGAGGGGGAUAACUUCUGGAAACGGUAGCUAAUACCGCAUACCAUCGGGUGUGCCCAGAUGGGAUUUGCUAGUAGGUGGGGUAACGGCUCACCUAGGCGACGAUCCCUAGCUGGUCUGAGAGGGUGACCAGCCACACUGGAACUGAGACACGGUCCAGACUCAUACGCGAGGCAGCAGUGGGGAAUAUUGCACAAUGGGCGCAAGCCUGAUGCAGCCAUGCCGCGUGUAUGCAGAAGGCCUUCGGGUUGUAAAGUACUUUCAGCGAGGAGGCGUUACUCGCAGAAGACGCACCGGCUAACUCCGUGCCAGCAGCCGCGGUAAUUC
rnacentral:rRNA from 1 species